CGUGACAAAACGGAAGCGCAGAUGCGGUGAUCCUGGGAGGACGGAGGAGGUGGGCGGGGUCCUCCAUAGAGAUACAAAAGCAGAAUAUUAGAUAACUUAAAAUUGCGAGUGACACAAGAGGGCAAAAAGGCAGAUGUACUAGGAGUGAUAUCCAACUUCCCCAUUGACUUUGUUUGUUGGAAGCUGAUAGGGGAAUACCGGAAAUUGUGAUCGUGUGAAUGCCACUGGAAGGGAAGGGGGUUGUUUGCAUCAAUUGAAAGUGGCCAAUAGGAAUUGGGCAGAUACCAUCCACUGUCAAGUUAUCUGGUUCAUGGUAACCGAAGCACUCCACAUCAUGCAAAUAGCCCGGAGAACAACUUUAUUUCAAAAGCCCACAACUGGCUGGUUUCCACAGAGGUUGGGGAAUGAAAGAAAGGCUGUUGUGUGAACACAGGCAACAUUCAAAAGGCCACUGACUGAAUAUGCAGUUUAAAUACUGCAUGACUAAGCAAGCAAUCCACAUUCACUUCCUAUCAACUUCCCCUAUGUUAUUCAAUCCACUGAAGGGAAUUUUUUAUCCUUGUACAGUUGCUGCAGGUAGUAUAUAUACACAGUGAACUGAAUGUCUGGAACUUUAUAGGUUAGUAUUCCUGGAGUGUAAAGUGAAUGAGCACAUUCAUGAAAUAUUCAUUCACAUGGUUUUGAAAUGGCAUAAAGCCAUGACUGUCCUGCUUUGGAUCUUAUGCAGAAAAAAACUUCAGAAGGCAUAAAUCCUAGUGUUUAUCUUCAGAAAAUCUGGUUGUGGAUGAGCAUGGUCAAUUGUAUCUGCCCUUUUGUUAUAUCUUUGUAGGAGAAUAUCUAUAGUUACAAUCCAUAAUGAAUAAACUCUUAUUGUGGCCAUGGCCAUAGAUCCCAGAGUUGGGAUAGGAACUUUUUGUUUGGAAAUGAUUUCCUACUAAGGUUCACUAGAGCACAACAAAACAUCAGUAAUGACAUCCUAAGUGGUCUGUUGCUGGGUUAAAUUUGUGUUUCGUUGCUAUAGAAGCCUUUGUUCUCUCUAGCUGAUCCAUAAAUGCAUCUAGAAAUAAUACUAAGUUUUUGUCUUUUAGAAGAGGCCAGGGGGUAGGAAGGAUUAGAUUUAGGCAGGUAUCUCUGGAUUGUUUCAUGAAAUACUGUAGAACAUGUAUCUUCUUGCAUGAAGUGUUGGUAAGUAGAUCCCAUUGCAGGAAAGGGAGCAACCAGAUGCCUGCUGAAUGUCAGCAUAAUUUUCAUCUGUUGCAGACCAAAGGCUGGUGGUAUGGGAAAUGAUGGGGGGGGGGUCACUUUCCUCAAUCCAAAGGAAAGAGUAGGAAAUGCACAAACAAGUCUCAUUCCUGAAGGUGAGGAAUGGAAAAUAAACAAUAGCAAUAGCAAUCUUCGUAAAAGUUCUCUCCUGCAAAGGGCAAGGGAAUAAGGCAUUUAAGAAUGUAUCACAAGUCCUCAUUGCUUUGUGAUGUAUGAUGAAACUGCAGAGAGGGCUCCCCCCACAACAGCCUUCAUGCACGCUUUAAUCUGCUCUUUUGUUUUCAGAUCAAACAAGCUUUGUUAACCUGCCACAAAGGACUACGUAGUCUGAUGUUCCACUGUGAAUAUUCCACUGCAUUCUUUUUUAUGAGUUCACUAAAUGACAGUACUAUUAGAAGGAAAGAGCACCGUAACAGUGUUUCACAAACAAAAAGGUUAUUGCAUUGACCUUGCUUAUUGCUAAAGAAGGGCGCAGUUAUUCACAAGGUUGCUGUUGUGGGGAAAAUAGGAAGAAGGACUAUUGUGCAUGUUUGCUACCUUGAGUUACUUAUAAAAAUAAUCAAGGCAUAAUAUAAAUACAUAAAUGUGGGUCAUUUAAAAACAAUCUGUUAAAGCAACAAUAAACA